UACGAAGGGUGCAAGCGUUGUUCGGAUUUAUUGGGCGUAAAGCGCGCGUAGGCGGACCUGCAAGUCAGAUGUGAAAUCUCGGGGCUCAACCCCGAAACUGCGUCUGAAACUACAGGUCUAGAAUCUUGGAGGGGGAAGGGGAAUUUCGCAUGUAGGGGUAAAAUCCGUAGAUAUGCGAAGGAACACCAGAGGCGAAGGCGCCUUCCUGGACAAGUAUUGACGCUGAGGCGCGAAAGCGUGGGGAUCAAACAGGG
rnacentral:rRNA from 1 species